CGGGUGAGUAACGCGUGAGGAACCUGCCUCAAAGAGGGGGACAACAGUUGGAAACGACUGCUAAUACCGCAUAAGCCCACGGCUCGGCAUCGAGCAGAGGGAAAAGGAGCAAUCCGCUUUGAGAUGGCCUCGCGUCCGAUUAGCUAGUUGGUGAGGUAAUGGCCCACCAAGGCGACGAUCGGUAGGCGGACUGAAAGGUUGAACGGCCACAUUGGGACUGAGACACGGCCCAG
rnacentral:rRNA from 1 species